rnacentral:rRNA from 1 species
AGGGAAUCUUCCGCAAUGGACGAAAGUCUGACGGAGCAACGCCGCGUGAGCGAUGAAGGUCUUCGGAUUGUAAAGCUCUGUUGUUAGGGAAGAAUAAGUACGAUAGUAACUGAUCGUACCUUGACGGUACCUAACCAGAAAGCCCCGGCUAACUACGUGCCAGCAGCCGCGGUAAUACGUAGGGGGCAAGCGUUGUCCGGAAUUAUUGGGCGUAAAGCGCGCGCAGGCGGUCCUUUAAGUCUGAUGUGAAAGCCCACGGCUUAACCGUGGAGGGUCAUUGGAAACUGGAGGACUUGAGUGCAGAAGAGGAGAGUGGAAUUCCACGUGUAGCGGUGAAAUGCGUAGAGAUGUGGAGGAACACCAGUGGCGAAGGCGACUCUCUGGUCUGUAACUGACGCUGAGGCGCGAAAGCGUGGGGAGCGAAC